GUACACAAAAAUGCACAUAUUGUGAGCUCGAUGAGUAGGGCGGGACACGUGGUAUCCUGUCUGAAUAUGGGGGGACCAUCCUCCAAGGCUAAAUACUCCUGACUGACCGAUAGUGAACCAGUACCGUGAGGGAAAGGCGAAAAGAACCCCGGCGAGGGGAGUGAAAAAGAACCUGAAACCGUGUACGUACAAGCAGUGGGAGCCUCUUUAUGGGGUGACUGCGUACCUUUUGUAUAAUGGGUCAGCGACUUAUAUUCUGUAGCAAGGUUAACCGAAUAGGGGAGCCGAAGGGAAACCGAGUCUUAACUGGGCGUUAAGUUGCAGGGUAUAGACCCGAAACCCGGUGAUCUAGCCAUGGGCAGGUUGAAGGUUGGGUAACACUAACUGGAGGACCGAACCGACUAAUGUUGAAAAAUUAGCGGAUGACUUGUGGCUGGGGGUGAAAGGCCAAUCAAACCGGGAGAUAGCUGGUUCUCCCCGAAAGCUAUUUAGGUAGCGCCUCGUGAAUUCAUCUCCGGGGGUAGAGCACUGUUUCGGCAAGGGGGUCAUCCCGACUUACCAACCCGAUGCAAACUGCGAAUACCGGAGAAUGUUAUCACGGGAGACACACGGCGGGUGCUAACGUCCGUCGUGAAGAGGGAAACAACCCAGACCGCCAGCUAAGGUCCCAAAGUCAUGGUUAAGUGGGAAACGAUGUGGGAAGGCCCAGACAGCCAGGAUGUUGGCUUAGAAGCAGCCAUCAUUUAAAGAAAGCGUAAUAGCUCACUGGUCGAGUCGGCCUGCGCGGAAGAUGUAACGGGGCUAAACCAUGCACCGAAGCUGCGGCAGCGACACUAUGUGUUGUUGGGUAGGGGAGCGUUCUGUAAGCCUGUGAAGGUGGCCUGUGAGGGUUGCUGGAGGUAUCAGAAGUGCGAAUGCUGACAUAAGUAACGAUAAAGCGGGUGAAAAGCCCGCUCGCCGGAAGACCAAGGGUUCCUGUCCAACGUUAAUCGGGGCAGGGUGAGUCGACCCCUAAGGCGAGGCCGAAAGGCG
rnacentral:rRNA from 1 species